rnacentral:sRNA from 1 species
UUUCUCUCUUGUUUUCUCUACAGCAAAACUUGUAGAAGUUGGCUAUGGAAUCAAGAAACUGACCAUCAUGUGUGUUGUGGAGGACGACAAAGUCAGCAUUGAAGAUCUUUCUGAGAAAAUCACUGGGGAAAAUGAGGAUUUAGUCCAGAGUGUAGAUAUUGCUGCAUUUAACAAGAUUUAAUUGGACAAAGACUAGACUCUUAUUUAAAAUUGUAAUAAAUAUUAUUUACACAUGUUC